rnacentral:rRNA from 1 species
CCUGGCUCAGGAUGAACGCUAGCGGCAGGCUUAAUACAUGCAAGUCGAGGGGCAGCAUGACUGUAGCAAUACAGUUGAUGGCGACCGGCAAACGGGUGCGGAACACGUACAGAACCUUCCUUCGAGCGGGGAAUAGCCCAGAGAAAUUUGGAUUAAUACCCCAUAGUAUAUUAGAGUGGCAUCACUUUGAUAUUAAAGAUUUAUCACUUGAAGAUGGCUGUGCGGCUGAUUAGGUAGUUGGCGGGGUAACGGCCCACCAAGCCUUCGAUCAGUAACUGGUGUGAGAGCACGACCAGUCACACGGGCACUGAGACACGGGCCCGACUCCUACGGGAGGCAGCAGUAAGGAAUAUUGGUCAAUGGACGAAAGUCUGAACCAGCCAUGCCGCGUGGAGGAUGAAGGUCCUCUGGAUUGUAAACUUCUUUUAUAUGGGACGAAAAAAGGGUUUUCUAACUCGUCUGACGGUACCAUAUGAAUAAGCACCGGCUAACUCCGUG